CAGCAGCCGCGGUAAUACCGGCGGCCCGAGUGGCGGUCACUAUUAUUGGGCUUAAAGCGUCCGUAACCGGGUUGGGAAGUCCUCCGGGAAAUCUGGCCGCUUAACGGUCAGAAUGCCGGAGGAUACUCCCAGCCUAGGGAGCGGGAGAGGCCGAGGGGAUUCCCGGAGUAGGGGUGAAAUCCUAUAAUCCCGGGAGGACCACCUGUGGCGAAGGCGCUCGGCUGGAACGCGUCCGACGGUGAGGGACGAAGGCCAGGGGAGCAAACCGGAUUAGAUACCCGGGUAGUCCUGGCUGUAAACGAUGCGGACUUUGUGUCGGACAAGCUAUGAGCUUGUCCGGUGCCGGAGGGAAACCGUUAAGUCCGCCGCCUGGGGAGUACGGCCGCAAGGCUGAAACUUAAAGGAAUUGGCGGG
rnacentral:rRNA from 1 species